ACACAUGAGAAAGGGUGAAAUAAUAGAUUAUGUCUGUUACCACAAACAUACCUCUCUUCUUAUGGGACUGAAAGAAAAUCAUAUAAUUCAGAUUUAAGUUAGAGCUUCUGAUCUAUCAUAACACUGUGUUUUCUCAGUAUUUAUUGUCACUAGUCAACAGAAAAACUGAGGUUAUAAAACCCUUACAACUCGUGGUUCCGUUCUGAAUAGACUUUGUUUCUCCCAGGUCAAUUUUAUUGUGUAACUGUUGAGAAGAAAUGAAACACAGGAGGAAUAUUGAGAAGUCAGCAAAGAUGAUAUAGAAGAAAGAAACAUUUCAACUUCUUCAUCUUUUAUUUAAUGCAUUUAAAAACAUGAUGACAAAAUACCUGUCUCUGAGCCAGGAAGGAAAAGGCAAAAAUCCUCACUUGCAAGUAUGAAAUUAUAUGCAUUGCAUGGCAACAGCAAGGUAUGGACCAAACUUGCAUCUGCAACUGCUGAGAGAAUUAUAGUCUACUGGCUUAUAAAAAGAGCGGGUGGCUCAUCAGAGAACCAGAUGAUUGACUUAAGCCUGCUCUAAUCUGAUCUACAAUUCUUACUAAAUAGAUCACGGAAGGAAAGUUCAUUUUCUGACUCAGUUUUCACACCUUCCCUGUAAUUUCUGCAUGUAAGUAUCAGGUAGUACCAAGGCAAAGAAAUUCUGAACAUUGUUCUUUUAAUAUACUUUUAACAUAUUUCACCUUGUGUCUCAAAAAUGGAAGUUUGGCAAAUCAGUAUUAUCAUUUUCUACCCAAACUCAGGGUGUAAUUUCUCCCCUUAGUGAUGCUGUUUUUUACAUACCAUAAUCAUUUAAGACUCGAAAUGGUUUAAUUCAACAGAAAUUAACUUACACAGAGCAUACCAUAACACUGGCAUGUUAAAAGAACACUGUUGCAGUGAAAAACUUGUUUCAAGUCCUGUAAAAAACUGAAUUAUUACGUAAUGCUUUAAGAGGUUGUAUUUCAUUUUUAUUCUGUUAUACGUGGAUCUGGCUACAAGAGAUGCCGAAGAGAAGACAGGUAAUGGAAAAGGAGAUGCUGAGACUUUGAUCAUCUAGUAAAAAAAUCACAAUCAUCUCAGGUGAGAGUCUGACCACAGCUGUCAUGCAGGAAGCACAAAGAAAGAUGACUUGAUCAUAUGAGAUAGGUGCCUUUACAAAAAAAGAGAUUAAUAGCAGGAUUCACAUCUAAAUGUGAUAGAGAAGGAAUCAUAUGCAACCUCUCAUUGACCAUCAGCUAAGCAGAAACAGUCCAGGCAGUUCAGAACUCAAUUUCCAGCCACUGAUAUUACACUUACUAAGAUCCUUGAGGGAAGGAUGAGAAAAGGAAGGAAGAGUGGGGGAAAGGGUGAGAGGGAAAGCAUCCCUUAAAACAAAGUAACAAUGAUUCUGCUUUCCAACCAGGGAUUUUACUGUUGCUUAUUUGCAUCUGUCAAGCACAGGCUUUUGUAUUUAUUUUUUCCCUCCUCCCCAGCUGAGAAGCUUAUGUCAUUAAAAAGUGAGAACAUAAGCACAAAAAUAAUCCUUCAUUGAACAUGUUCUAUGAAAAAGAGAAAUCUUUUCUCAUCCUCCUUGGAUAUACGUGCAGCCAGCCUGGACACAGUGGUUUGAGGACUAACGACAGUGAACACUGGCCAACCAGGCUGAGAUUAAAUAAAUCCAUUCCUCAGCCUCCAUUAUUCAUCCCCUACACACUUCCCUCAGCAGGGACACGUGCUGAGGGGCACAUAAAGCUCUGUAGGCAUGUGAAAAGAGAUCACAGCUGCUGAUCGCACAGCGAAUACUCAACUAACCAGGUAUUCCCAUGAAAAAUUGUUUGGUAUUGGGAUGCUUAAAAAUUAGACCAAGAUGUGAAUGGAUGGGGAAGAUAACAUGUAAGAAUGAAGUCUGGAAGCAGAAAAAAUAGCAAAAAGAAGACUGAACUGUAAAUAUUUCUUUUCAGAGAAGCCCCAGAAUGGUUUUAAGGGUUUAUGGAAAACACAAUUGACAUAAAAAAAAAGAAGAAAACAUUGUUUAAAUUGAUUGAAGAAGUCUCUUCUAGAACCUUCUUGGAAUUCAUCAGAAAAAGUGGAAAAUUGAAUAAUUCUGAAUCAAAGAUUGAGAGAGAUUAAUCAAGCCCAGUGAAUUCAAAGAAGCAGAAGAGCAACAUUUCUGAGCUCUGCUGCAAUAUUUCCACUCAAAAAUAGGAGAGCACCACUGGAACCCGAAAUCCACACAAGGGGAAAAAAACAGGAAAUGGACUGUGAAAAGUAGGAGGAGUUUGGGAUUUCAGGAUAUGAUGCUCAGUACUUGACAGGGAAGAAAUGAGAGAUUAUAAGGAAAAGGAAGAUCCUAUAUCUACAAGUACUUACAGUUUGAUGGAGGGAGAGAAAGACUAAGCAGGCCCUAAAAAGACAAAGAUGGGGAAGGGUCUCAGUUUGCUAACGGCAAGUUAGCUGCACCAGAACUUCGAAAACACUCCUUAAACUAUAUCCCAAAGAGGGGAUAAAGAUGAAGACAGGAAAAAAGUGUCUGUGUUAUCCUAAAGAUUAAAAUACAUUAACUCUGUGCAGACUGGGAUUUGCAGUACUAGUAGAGAAUUUCUUUUUAUUGGUCUAAUUUUUUCCUCUACCUCCCUCUUGUCCUUCUUCUUUACUUCUUUCCUUCUUCCUUCUGAGAUACAUUAAAGGGAAAAAAUGGAGACAUAAGAUUAGAAACAAAAGUACCUAAAGCAAGGUCUAAGAAAGGAUUUACCAUUCCUAGCAAGAGGUAAAGAUGAGAAAGAAAAAAAAAAAAAAGGCAAAGUCUGGCUAUGCAUUUUUACCCCCUGUGAUUCGUAACUUUAUGCCGUCCAGCUUCCUGAUAGUUGGAGCCAGUAUGUUUGCUGUAUGGAAUUUUGUCUUGUAGGAUGGGAGAACAGUGAAUAUGAAACUGACAACCCUUAAGAAGUUCCAAUUUUACCUUAAACAGAAAUAUAAAAAAUAUCAAAAAUACCUCAAAGUUUGCAUUCUACAUAUGAUCCCUAGCUAUAGGGAACAACGUGACAUUGACAGAUGAGACACACUAAGAUAACAUAAAUUAGCAAAAUUCGAUUGGCAAUUGUAUGAAAAUCACGUUGUCUUAAAAUGCCUUUCAGAAUGAACACUGGGAAUUAUGGUAGGUCCAAAUAAACUUUGAUUACAUCAAUAGCAAUUUUAUGGCUCCUUUAAUAUUCCAAUUAAAAAGUUUUUUCGUUUCCUCCAAAGAACACAAAAUUAGACUUGACUUUGCUCCAAUUCUGAGAGACACCAACCCUCUGAAUCUCAUGCAUCUUUAACAGACUGUAAAAGACUGGUGUUGCAACAUUCUAAAUCCACAUCUGUCUUAAUUAAGCAAUUUGAUUACUAAUUUCUUGGUAAACCUG